GUUGCAUACUUCAUUCGGUUAUGUGCUAAAGUUCGAUCCUGGCUCAAGUUGACAUGCUGGCGGGAUGCUUUACACAUGCAAGUCGAACGGCAGCACUGGGCUGGUCUUGGUGGCGAGAGUGGCGAACGGGUGAGUAAUGUAUCAGGGCAGUGCCUAGUAGCGGGGGAUAACUGCGCGCGAAGCGUAAUAAUACAUACGCCCUUCGGGGGAAAGCGGGGGACGGCCUCGCACUAUUAGAGCAGCCGAUAUCGGAUUAGCUAGUUGGUGGGGGUAACGGCUCACCAAGGCGACGAUCCGUAGCGCUGGUUUGAGAGGACGACCAGCCACACUGGGACUGAGACACAGCCCAGACUCCUACGGGAAGGCAGCAGUGGGGGUGUUUUUGGACAAUGGGGGAAACCCUGAUCCGGCUAUCCCGCGCAUGUGCGAUGAAGCUGUGGGUUGUAAAGCACUUUGGCAGGAAAGAAACGGCACGGGAUAAUACCCCAUUGCAACUGACAGCACCUGCAGAAUAAGCACCGGCUAACUACGUGCCAGCAGCCGCGGUAAUACGUAGGGUGCAAGCGUUAAUCGGAAUUACUGGGCGUAAAGCGUGCGACGGUUCGGAAAGAAAGAUGUGAAAAUCCCAGAGCUUAACUUUGGAACUGCAUUUUUAACUACCGAGCUAGAGUGUAUCAGAGGGGAGGUGGAGAUUCCUGCAGUAGCAGCAGUGAAAUGCGUAGAUAUGCGGAGAGGAACACCGAUAUGGCGAAGGCGGCCUCACCGGAUAGCACUAGCUCAUCCGCAGCGGCGCAAGACAAACAGGAUUAGAUACCCUGGUAGUCCACGCCCUAAACGAUGUCAACUAGCUGUUGGGGCCUUCGGGCCUUGGUAGCGCAGCUAACGCGUAGUUAGCCACGCCUGGGAGUACGGUCGCAAGAUUAAAACUCAAGAUUGUGACGGGGACCCGCACCGGCGUGGAUGAUGUGGAUUAAUUCGAUGCAACGAAAAACCUUACCUACCCUUGACAUGUCUGAAUCCCGAAGAGAUUUGGGAGUGCUCGCAAAGAGAACCGGAACACAGGUGCUGCAUGGCGCGAUAGCUCGUCGUGAGAUGUUGCGGUUCAGUCACAACUGAGCGCAACCCUUGUCAUUAGUUGCUACGAAAGGGCGCUCUAAACCAGACACCGGUGACAAACCGGAGGAAGGUGGGGAUGACGUCAAGUCCUCAUGGCCCUUAUGGGUAGGGCUUCACACGUCAUACAAUGGGUCGGGACAGAGGGUCGCCAACCCGCGAGGAGCCAAUCGAGGCUUGAUCGUAGUCCGGAUCGCGAUCUGCAACUCGACUGCGUGAAGUCGGAAUCAUUAGUAAUCGCGGAUCAGCAUGUCGCAGUUGAAUACGUUGAGUCUUGUACACUGCCCGUCACACCAUGGGAGUGGGUUUUACCAGAAGUAGUUAGCCUAACCGUAAGGAGGGCGAUUACUGCGGUAGGAUUCAUGACUGGGUGAUCGUAACAAGGUAG
rnacentral:rRNA from 1 species